rnacentral:rRNA from 1 species
GGCUCAGAGCGAACGUUAGCGGCGGGCCUAACACAUGCAAGUCGAACGCGAAAGGUCUUCGGACUGAGUAGAGUGGCGCACGGGUGAGUAACACGUAGGUAAUCUACCCUUUGGCGGGGGAUAACGUUCCGAAAGGAGCGCUAAUACCGCAUAAGACCACGGAGUCUCCGGACGCUGUGGGAAAAGGUGGCCUCUUCUUGAAAGCUACCACCGAAGGAUGAGCCUGCGUCCCAUCAGCUAGUUGGUAAGGUAAUGGCUUACCAAGGCGAAGACGGGUAGCUGGUUUGAGAGAAUGAUCAGCCACACUGGCACUGGAACACGGGCCAGACUCCUACGGGAGGCAGCAGUGAGGAAUAUUGGGCAAUGGGCGAAAGCCUGACCCAGCCACGCCGCGUGAGUGAUGAAGGCCCUCGGGUCGUAAAGCUCUGUGGAGAGGGACGAAAACCCUGGUUUCAAAUAGGCUCCCAGGCUUGACGGUACCUCUUAGCAAGCACCGGCUAACUCUGUG